AUGAACGCAAUGAAAACUAGCUUGACGAUAUUCCCAUGUGUCCUCGGGAGCGCUUUUACUUAUAUAAGAGUUUGUUCCGGCUUGUCCUUUGCUACAAAAAGGAUUGGGCCACCUUGCUGCAUUUUAUUUACUUUUGUUACUUGUUGCUCGUUACAAUUUAUCUUAUCACAAAACUAUCUGUUACCACUUAUUUCAGUACUUGCAGAGAAUACCUUGCUGAAAACCGCUUAUCAUUUCCUUCUGCUCCUCAUUGGGUUCGACACUCUUACUUAUCAAAAGGACUAUGAUAGAUCCCCUAUACUUGUGGGUCAUCAGCUUGCUUUCAACCUCCGCGGCCACCAUGGCGACACCGACUGCUUUCCUGCAUCCUUGUGA
rnacentral:rRNA from 1 species